AUAUAUUUCUGCUACUAAAUAAUAUUCAUAAGCUAUCAGAGUGAAUGAUUGCCUUUCUUAGAUUGAAGCAUCGUAGUUUAUUUAUUUCCCCUAUUUUUGAAAUCUUAGGUUAUUUCAUUUGUUUGCUUGCUCGCUUGGUCUUAUGGUCAUUAUGAAAUAAUGCUGUAGUCAACAUGUGAAAGCAGAUUAACAUUUCUUCUCUUUAGGACAUGUUUACAUGCCAAUUGUUUGAGUCUAAUAUACGUUAACAGUUUAUACAGUGAAUCAUUUCACUGCCACAGAUUCAUUUUGAAAAAGUACUUUAUCACUAUUUUUGUCAAAAAUAGACUUUAAAGCCACAAAAGGAAAAGAAAGCCAAGACUUUUCUCUCUGUACCACAAUUAAUUCAGUAAUUUAUAAGACAGAUUAUUAUUCCCUCCUGUAUAACACGAAGAAUUGCUGAUAAAAUAUAACUGCACUCAGGGCUGAUAGCAUAAACCGCUUUGCAAGUGGGGAAUAAGUUCACACGCAUAAAUCCUACAAAUAAAAUCCUCCUUUGGAGAUCCAUAGAGAUAAGAAAACUAAUGGAAGUUAUACAAAAAACCCAGAACACCCCCUUUUAUUUUGUUCAUUGUAAGUAUAUGUACUUACGUAUUAUUACAUCUUCAAACUAUCCUUUUUAUAAUUUAAAGUAAUAUAAAUACAUAAAAAGUUUAAAUAAGUAAACUUUCACACAUCUUACAAUUAGUAGUUAUUCUGAAGAUACUGGCUUACAACCUUUUAUAUUUUGCAUAGUGGUAAACUGCAUGUGAUUUUAAAAUUUCUUUUUAAAUGAAUUCUAUAUUCUGGUGGCUCUGAUCAUCAAAAAAUAAAGGAAAUGUACUGAUAAUAUUUGUAAAUUGAGUUCAUAGCACACUGAAUAUUGGAACCUAAAAAAAUCAGAUUUCCUCAUUAUUCAUAAUUUGGAUUAUAUUCUCUAUGUCUUUGUUUAUAUUAAGAUUUAUAGUUGAGGGAUUGAACAUAGGCUGUUCAAUCUCUCAGCUCUCAGUUGUGUUCGUUAAACAUUAGGUUAUACAUGUGAAGCCACUUUGUAAACUGCAGACUACAGUGAAAAUCUAAUAUAAAUGUUUUGAAAAGUGCUCUUUGUUCAUCCUAUAUGUGAAAAGGAGACUUUUAAAGUGGCUUAAUGGAAAAAAAUCUAAGACUUUUCUCUCUCUCUUUGGUGCAAUGAAUUUAAUAAUUUAUGAUAGAGAUUUAUUUUUCCUUCACAUACAACAGUAAAAAUGAUUAGCCUGGUAAAAUAACUGCACUUAGGGCUUUUAUUAGCAAUAACCUCCAGGAAUAUAGAUCUUUAUUUUGGAAAUGGAACUUAAGUCUCCAGAUGGCAAAUCACUGAGACUUUGUUCGCUAUAUGAAUGAAGCCCAUUGCCAGAAAAUCAUUUUCAAAAAAUCCACAAUGUUUGCACUGGAAAUGUUUAUAAAAAUGCUUGGACUACCAUCAACCCUGUAGGCACUUUGUGGAUUAUCUGGAGAAAAUAUUUAAAACCUGACUAGUGUUCCUCUGCCACCCAGUUAACCUCUUGCUUUCCUCUCUCAGUUCUUUAAAAAUGCAAACUAAUUUCAGCAUUAGCAUAUAUAGUUUAUCAUUGUAAACUUGACUCUACUGGAAAAAAAAAAUAAAAGUGAAUCCAGGGUCACAUAUAAGUGGUUAACCGUUACUCACGCCACUGUGAUCUGUAGUUCAUGGACAAAGAGGAGGUGCCUGUAGUUUGCUUUUGCACACUUAUUGUGCUAAGUUUAUUUCAGGUUGUAAGAGUUACCGAUUUUAAUUUAACAGAAUUCAUAGUUUUAUUUUUCUAAAUUGCAGGUGGUUUUCAUGAGCCUAUGCAAAAGUUUUUGGGACUGUGGGCUUGUAGCCCUGGAUGACAUUACAAUAGAAUUGAGAAGCUGCUGGUCUUCAGAGAAGCUUCUGCCUCCACCUGGAGAAUGUACUUUCGAACAAGAUGAAUGUUCGUUUACUCAGGAGAGAAGAAAUCGGAGCAGCUGGCACAGGAAGAGGGGAGAAACUCCCACCUCCUACACUGGACCGAAGGGAGACCACACUACUGGGGUAGGUGAGUCAUGCCACAUGGUGCUGUUUCCUAAGGAAACUGGAAAUAGCAUUCCAGGGG
rnacentral:lncRNA from 1 species